UACGUAGGGCGCAAGCGUUAUCCGGAAUUAUUGGGCGUAAAGAGCUCGUAGGCGGUUUGUCGCGUCUGCUGUGAAAACGCGGGGCUCAACUCCGCGCCUGCAGUGGGUACGGGCAGACUAGAGUGCAGUAGGGGAGACUGGAAUUCCUGGUGUAGCGGUGGAAUGCGCAGAUAUCAGGAGGAACACCAAUGGCGAAGGCAGAUCUCUGGGCCGUAACUGACGCUGAGGAGCGAAAGCAUGGGGAGCGAACAGG
rnacentral:rRNA from 1 species